GAAGCCAGCACUAAUUAAGCACCACUUCCCAAAGGUCAGGGCUAAGAAGCCAGCACUAAUUAAGCACCACUUCCCAAAGGUCAGGGCUAAGAAGCCAGCACUGAUUAAGCACCACUUCCAAAGUCAGAGAUAAGAAGCCAGCACUGAUUAAGCACCACUUCCAAAGUCAGAGAUAAGAAGCCAGCACUGAUUAAGCACCACUUCCAAAGUCAGAGAUAAGAAGCCAGCACUGAUUAAGCACCACUUCCAAAGUCAGAGAUAAGAAGCCAGCACUGAUUAAGCACCACUUCCCAAAGGUCAGGACUUAGAAGCCAGCACUAAUUAAGCACCACUUCCAAAGUCAGAGAUAAGAAGCCAGCACUGAUUAAGCACCACUUCCAAAGUCAGAGAUAAGAAGCCAGCACUGAUUAAGCACCACUUCCCAAAGGUCAGGGCUAAGAAGCCAGCACUGAUUAAGCACCACUUCCAAAGUCAGAGAUAAGAAGCCAGCACUAAUUAAGCACCACUUCCCAAAGGUCAGGGCUAAGAAGCCAGCACUAAUUAAGCACCACUUCCCAAAGGUCAGGGCUAAGAAGCCAGCACUAAUUAAGCACCACUUCCCAAAGGUCAGGGCUAAGAAGCCAGCACUAAUUAAGCACCACUUCCCUAAGGUCAGGGCUAAGAAGCAAGUGUUGACAGAGGGCUCACUUUUGCAUCUUUCAUUAAAGGUCAUGGAUCCAACCUUCUUUGUCCUGGAGACAAAGGGCCCAAAGAGGGCUGUGGGGAGCUUAUGGGCUCACAAGUUGUAAAUGGUAAAACAGGAUUUGAACCCAGAACCUCUGGGGACUAAUCCUUAAAGAUGGAGCGUUCGGGGGCAGUGAGGAGACUGUUUCCGGCUGGGCAGGGAUGAACCUUUUCCAGUUUCCCUUCUAGAACAUUGAAAACCGGGUUUCUCUGAAGGCGCCCGAUAUUUCUAGAGCUGGCAAACGCUCCGGCUUAAAGUGGAUGGACAGGAGGCCGGUGGUGGGGCGGUGGCCAUCACCAGGGUCCCAUCCUAUCUGUGCCCUCCCCAGAGCCCUUUGGGAGCCCCAAGGCACCAGCCAGGAGGCCCAGGGAUCUGGGGCAGCCGGGGCCGCUCCGCCGGAGAGUCUGGAUCCCCCCCCAGCCCAGUCCAGGCCCGGUAGGAGGGAGGGCCCGGAAAGCAGAGGGAGGCUGCCGGCCACAUAUCCCUAACGCAUUGUCCCCCAAGGGCCUUGGCUUCCUCAUCUGCAAAAUGGGUGCGAUAAUAAUGCACCUAGGUUUAUUAUAAGGCUCAAAUGAGAUGGUCUUUGUAAAGAGCUCAGCUAAAGGCCUGGCACAUAGUAGGUGUUUAAUACUAUUUUUUCUCUCCUCCCUUCCCUCCCUCCCUCUCUCCCUCCCUCCCUUCCUUCCUUCCUUCCCGUGAAGACUGAGAACAAGAGAACAAAAUUACUAGCUGUUAUAGUGAUGAUGGCGGUGACGAUACGACUAGUUGGAGCCUCAGUGUUGCCAUCUGUAUAAUAGGGACGAUCAUGAUUGUCUUCCUGAGAUCCAGAGACUGUUUUUGUCCCUGAGCUAAAAUAUUUUACUGCGUUGAACCUCAGUUUCCUCAUCUGUAAAAUGUUAUGUAAAUCACAAAUGUCAAAAGUGUCGAAUUUUAGAGUUCUCUCUGUGUGUGCCCGUGUGUCCCUGUAAUCAUACGGUCUGGAUAUCUUCUGCAUCAGAGAAUGACAAGGAACUUCAGAGUUGAUCUCGGGUGCCCCAGCCUUCCUCGGAAGACCACCGGUGACAGGGAACUCGCUACCUCAUAAGGCAACACACUCUAGUGUGAAUCGGCUCAGACAAAUGUAUAUUCUUUGAAGGAGGGACCAUUUCAUUUUGGCCUUCAUUCUCAAACCUGACAGUGCAUUGGGCAUAGUAGGAAUCCAGCCUGUGCCAGACCCAUGAGUCACCGCCGGCACCCAGAGGGGGACAACACCUUGGGCGCAGAGCGGGAGGAUCGUGCAGGGCCCCGGGGAGGAAAAAGCAGGGCCAGCCAGACCUGGACCCCGAGGAGCCUGAGAAGGGCCGGGAGAGGAGACCAAGAGACCCGGUCUGGUUUGUCAGUGGCUGAUUCCUGGGAGUGACUCAUCAGUCAUUUCCUCUUCUACAAACAGCUAUUACGUAUGAGGGAAAAAGAGAGGCAAAGGUUCUUUCUACCCUCCCACCCUGACACCCCCUCAGGGUCUCAGCCCCCUCCCACCCUGACACCCCCUGUUCUCAGGCCCCUUCCACCCUGAUACCCCCUGUUCUAAGCCCCCUCCCACCCUGACAUUCCCUGUUCUCAGCCCCCUCCCACCCUGAUACCCCCUGUUCUCGGGCCCCUCCCACCCUGACACCCCCUGUUCUCGGGCCCCUCCCACCCUGACACCCCCUGUUCUCGGGCCCCUCCCACCCUGACACCCCCUGUUCUCAGCCCCCUCCCACCCUGACACCCCCUGUUCUCGGGCCCCUCCCACCCUGACACCCCCUGUUCUCGGGCCCCUCCCACCCUGACACCCCCUGUUCUCAGCCCCCUCCCACCCUGACACCCCCUGUUCUCAGGCUCCCAGAUGGGCUGCAUGCAGAGUGCCAUCUGGCAGAACCCAGGAGGUCCAGAAUCCCCUGGGAACAAGGGACUCGGGCUUUCAGCUGUGGGAGCCCCUCCCGGCUCCCCGCCCCAUUCUACCUCGGCCCACCCAGGAGCUAGCCCAGCCUGCCCGUGACUUCCAGCCCAGAGCUGGGUGUAGCCGGGCCUGUCCCGGGCGGGUCCUGGCCCAAUGACACAGGCCUUUAUCUGCUCUCAGAAGCAAGGCCGCUGUCUCGGAUGGAGCUUGGGGUGCGGAGCAAGAACCAGAAAAACGUGUUCGGGCUGGGAGCC